UCUGAAGAUCAGAACAUCAGAAGAUGCUUAAGAUGUUCCUCAAAUUCACUUUAGAUGAGCUCUUACAUCCGUAGCAGUGAAGUUCUGGUCUCUUGCUUUAUCUUGAUUGGCUGGGAAGGGCCAGAAGUGAAGCAGGACUGAGUGAAGCAGCGCAGACGCUCUCAUUCGGAGAUUAGGCAACAGAAGGACCGGAGUCUGUGAACUCUUGAGGCUCCCGCUCUCAUCCAGACCAGAGCAGCCGCAUCGGACAAUCAACAGGAAAUCCAGCGUGAGGACAGAAAACGCUAUGAGUGAGAGGAGCUGCGGUGGCCUGAGGGACACGGCGUGACGUGCUGGAGCUCUGUUCUUGGACAGGUGAAUAUUGAGCCGUGUUUAUGCCGCUCGCGGGGAGAAGAGCGGUGCUCAGAGUUCAGCUCUGGAUUCUUAUUGUGCUUCUCUACAGCGGUCAGGUCAUGGGCUCCAUGCUGGAUGAGCUGAUCUAUAAACGUGGUGAAUAUCAAGAGAACUGCACACGAUUCCUGAAAGCCA